rnacentral:rRNA from 1 species
AACGCGAAGAACCUUACCAGGUCUUGACAUCCUCUGACACUCCUAGAGAUAGGACUUUCCCCUUCGGGGGACAGAGUGACAGGUGGUGCAUGGUUGUCGUCAGCUCGUGUCGUGAGAUGUUGGGUUAAGUCCCGCAACGAGCGCAACCCUUGUUCUGUGUUGCCAGCAUGCCCUUCGGGGUGAUGGGGACUCACAGGAGACUGCCGGGGUCAACUCGGAGGAAGGUGGGGACGACGUCAAAUCAUCAUGCCCCUUAUGUCUUGGGCUGCACACGUGCUACAAUGGCCGGUACAAAGGGCUGCGAUGCCGCGAGGCGGAGCGAAUCCCAAAAAGCCGGUCUCAGUUCGGAUUGGGGUCUGCAACUCGACCCCAUGAAGUUGGAGUUGCUAGUAAUCGCAGAUCAGCAUGCUGCGGUGAAUACGUUCCCGGGCCUUGUACACACCG